GGAGGAAAGUAGGGGAUCGCAAGACCUUGCGCUUUUGGAGCGGCCGAUGUCUGAUCAGCUUGUUGGUGAGGUAAAAGCUUACCAAGGCUUCGAUCAGUAGCUGGUCUGAGAGGACGACCAGCCACACUGGGACUGAGACACGGCCCAGACUCCUACGGGAGGCAGCAGUGGGGAAUUUUGGACAAUGGGGGCAACCCUGAUCCAGCCAUGCCGCGUGAGUGAAGAAGGCCUUCGGGUUGUAAAGCUCUUUCAGCCGGAACGAAACGGUUACGGUUAAUACCCGUGACUACUGACGGUACCGGAAGAAGAAGCACCGGCUAACUACGUGCCAGCAGCCGCGGUAAUACGUAGGGUGCGGGCGUUAAUCGGAAUUACUGGGCGUAAAGCGUGCGCAGGUGGUUUUGUAAGUCAGAUGUGAAAUCCCCGGGCUUAACCUGGGAACUGCGUUUGAAACUACAAGGCUA
rnacentral:rRNA from 1 species